rnacentral:lncRNA from 1 species
CUAAUCCGCCACCCAGCCUUCAUCACCAAGCACCUCCGCAGCCAAUCUUCCACUUCCCACCUCCUCAUCGUCCCCGAAGAGCUUUUCAGCGAAAACCCAUGCACCGUUCUCAGCGACAUUGCUGAAUCGGUUCGGAGAGUCCAUGGACUCGGAUUCCUUUAGAAUUAAGGAAUUUCAAGAAUCGAUUGCGCAGUUUGUGUAUCGACUUGGGGUGAUGAAUGCUGCUAUGUGUGGUGGAUGAGGGAGUAUGGCGAGGCUAAAUCUUGGAAUAAACAGUUCACUAUUGUGCCACGGGGAAGGUGGAGCGGCUGCUGAGUUUUACGAAUAGCGGAAAGAUUUUGAUGGAAAUGAAUGGAUGAGAAGCUGGUUUCUUAUGAUUUGGAGAGGAAACAAUUUCAGGAUCUUGGAUUUGAGGGGAUAUAUGGAGCACAAGGGACAUUGACAGAGAGCCUUGUUUUACUGGACCAAGGUAAAAGUUUCUUCUUUUGACUCAAGGGGAAGGUGACUUGACCAAACUAUAUGAUCUGAUAUUAAGCUAGUAGAGUAGUAUUUAAUAGUAUGUAGUAUCUAUUGUAGCUGAUUGCUACACGAUUGGGCAUGUGGAUAAAUUACAUUAGUAUCUUUUGGUAAGCUAGUUUUAGCUUUCUAGCAAUGGGUAAGAGUAAGAGUUGUCUUCUGUUGGUAGUCUGAAACUGUGUUGAACUGCCUAUGUAUCACUCUCUGGUUUUGUU